GUUUUUACCUCUGGUGGAAUUCACUUACAUUUUAAUGUGCCAUCAGCUUAUUAAUAGCAUUUUAACCUAAACAAAGAAAAGCAUAACAUUUCCAGAAAGAUUCAAGAUACCCUGUGCCAGAUGCAGCAAAGCAGCCCCAGAACAUAACCGAGCCUCCUUCAUGUUUCAUAGAGCUGAUGUGACCCGCAAAAAGCUCCAGUGGUGUCCUCCUCCUCAGUGGUGGUCUUCCAUUAAGUCCACUUUGGCUGUGCCUUUUUUGGGUCAAUGAGGUGACGUAAACAGUGACGUACUCCGAGGGAAGCCACGGCUGGUCAGUCCUUCAGCGAUUCUCUCAUAAGUUGGCCCGUCCUUCACCGUCCCCCUCAUUUGACGGUUAAUGGCCUCUUCAUUUGCGAGGGCAAGAAGGGCGCGGAAUUUCUUGUCUCCCCAGUUGCUCUUUAAUGUGUCUGUCAGGUUUGCAUUUCCCUCUUGCUACUAGCUGCUCAUUCCUGCUAUCAGCUGUUUCCUGUUAGUCCACCGCCAGUGGGUCGUACGUACGGCGUCAUCAGCAGCUCCUCCUACAAGUCAUCAACAGCCCCUCCCGUGGCGGACGGGCGCCUCGUUUUUUUUAAACCAAAAAUGUGCCGCCAAUAUGACUACCCUACAAGGCAGAAAAUUGGGCACCUCGGAUCAACUCGCCAAUCCAGCUCUGUGUGUCUAAAACGGCCCAACAUUCGCCGAAAAUCUGGCAGUGUAAAAGGGGCUUUACGUUGUUGUUGUUUGGCCGACAUGAAAGGACGGCUUUCAUCGCUGUCUGACGUGGAAGUCACUGCCAGAGCAUCGGUAUUCAAUGACUUCGGAAUGACACUGGGUUGGUGUUCCACCUGCUCUAUCGGGACACAGUAGUUUCUGGCGACAUCAGAAAUAGCUGCCACAUGGCGUGUAUCAUAGCACCGGGAAGAGUGCCUCAGUGCAUCUUUGUCUGAUGCUAACAUCAACUGACAUAGCAGCAGUAUUUGAUGACUUUUGUUGUGUCUGAAGGCGUCAGAAAUUGGUACGUUGGUAUCUGAGGUUGUAAUCAUUGACACAGUGGCGGUAUUUGAUAAGUUGUGAGUGAGAAUGGGCUGGAUCAGCCAGAUCAGUGGGCAGGUACAUAAAACUCUGUAUAUCUAGACUGUAUAAAGACAUGCUCAGUUUAUGACAUAUGAAAAAACAUUUAAACAUCAGUAUUUUUGUAUGCAGUUGAAAAUGGGAAAUAUGAAAUCUGGAGCUGGAGUUUGUUAGGGGGAUUUAUAGUAUUUUACCUCCCAUUUUGGCUCCAGAAAGUGAAUUGGCAAUGAGGGUAAGGACAGGAGAGGGGCCGAAAUAAGGCAGCCAUGUCUCUGAUCUGAACUAACAUCUGGACUCCCAGGUGCCAGUCUGUUUGAUGUGUGUAUUACUGAUUAGUGUUGAGGACAAACAGAGUUUAUAGAGAUUGGUGUGUUGGUUAACUUCACUGUUUGAUCUUCACCAGAGGACAUGCCUCUUCACCAAAUGAGAUCUGAACCUAGUUUGCAAGUAUAAUUCCACUCUUGGUAUGGUUAUUGGAGGGAAAGGAUCUUAACACAGAAGGUGAUCAUUUUUCAGAGUAAGACAGAUAUCUAAAAGUGCAGAGUGAGAGGAAGCUAGAGAGGAAACUAGUGAUCUUUACCAUACCACAGAAUGCGAUAAAGUCACGAUUGUGUGGAAUUUCUAGGGCUGCAGUCUAGUGAAGUCAACUUUGAAGAAGCUCAGUGUUCUUCUACUACAUCUCCUAUCAGUGAAAACAGCCACUUUGCCUACAGACGCCCCCCGAAAAUAAGUGACACUUUGUGGUUCUAAUUAUGCAUGUAGUAGUAGAAAUGAGAGACCUCAGUGGUUGGGACUGGAACUUAAAAGACCCAACAGUGGACCAAGCCAAGAACCACAACUUAAGUUCUGAUGUUUAUUACUAUUACCAGACUCUCACUGCAUGAGCUGGUCAUUUUUUGUUCACCCAGUUCCACCAGUGUCCCUGAGCAGAGAAUUUCUAUCACCUAUCCAUCCAUUUGUCCAUCCUCAGACACAUUUAUCCCACCACCUCUUACACCAGCCCCGAUGUAAAAAAACAACAACAAAAAAAACAAAAAAACCUAAUAAUUAAAUCCUUGAGGCUCAUAUCACACAAUAGCAGUUGUGUGAAGGGAUGCGUAUCAAUGUUUACCAACCCUCACAAAUGGCAAACAAGCAUGGCAGAAUUGUGUGUGUGUGUGUGUUUGUGUGUGUAGACAGAGCAGCUGCUACUCUCUGGGUGUCUCCUAGGACCACAGCAGGUCUCUGAAUGUUUGUUGUGUGUGUGUGUGUGUGUGUGUGUGUAUGUUUGCUUAGAGAGGCGUAUGAAGGACACUUCAAUGAGACGGCCAACAAAACAUCAGACAAAGGCCUGCAUAACACACACACACACACACACACACAUACACGCACACACAGUUACAUUUACAGGAACGUUUCCUUUGACAUUUCCCCUUUCUCUCUUUAACUCUUUAGGGUAACAUGUGCCUCCAAAAAUGUUGUGAAAUCAGCGUGAUCUCUUAAAAUCCCCCCCUCCCUCCAGACAGGCAGAUGGGAUGAUACAGUUAAAUUCAACCUUAAUGACCUGGACAUAAUUUUUGGCACAUGACGAGGUGUCUACAAUUUUCUACCAGCCAUGACUUUGCCAUGACCUUUGCUUUGGAUAUUCAUGGUCCUCUGAGGAUGCACCCUGAUAAUAGUGACACUCUAACCUUUGAUUAGCGAUAUACCAAGACCAAAAUUUGUUCUUGUAUACAGUAAAUAUCUAAUUGAAAGAGAAUUGUCAUGAA